rnacentral:rRNA from 1 species
UUAAGUUAUUAAGGGCGCACGGUGGAUGCCUUGGCACUAGAAGCCGAUGAAGGACGUUACUAACGACGAUAUGCUUUGGGUAGCUGUAAGUAAGCGUUGAUCCAGAGAUUUCCGAAUGGGGGAACCCAGCAUGAGUUAUGUCAUGUUAUCGACAUGUGAAUUUAUAGCAUGUCAGAAGGCAGACCCGGAGAACUGAAACAUCUUAGUACCCGGAGGAAGAGAAAGAAAAAUCGAUUCCCUGAGUAGCGGCGAGCGAAACGGGAAGAGCCCAAACCAACAAGCUUGCUUGUUGGGGUUGUAGGACACUCUAUACGGAGUUACAAAAGAACAUGUUAGACGAAUCAUCUGGAAAGAUGAAUCAAAGAAGGUAAUAAUCCUGUAGUCGAAAACAUAUUCUCUCUUGAGUGGAUCCUGAGUACGACGGAGCACGUGAAAUUCCGUCGGAAUCUGGGAGGACCAUCUCCUAAGGCUAAAUACUCUCUAGUGACCGAUAGUGAACCAGUACCGUGAGGGAAAGGUGAAAAGUACCCCGGAAGGGGAGUGAAAGAGAACUUGAAACCGUGUGCUUACAAGUAGUCAGAGCCCGUUAAUGGGUGAUGGCGUGCCUUUUGUAGAAUGAACCGGCGAGUUACGAUCUGAUGCAAGGUUAAGCAGCAAAUGUGGAGCCGCAGCGAAAGCGAGUCUGAAUAGGGCGUUGAGUAUUUGGUCGUAGACCCGAAACCAGGUGAUCUACCCUUGGUCAGGUUGAAGUUCAGGUAACACUGAAUGGAGGACCGAACCGACUUACGUUGAAAAGUGAGCGGAUGAACUGAGGGUAGCGGAGAAAUUCCAAUCGAACUUGGAGAUAGCUGGUUCUCUCCGAAAUAGCUUUAGGGCUAGCCUCAAGUGAUGAUUAUUGGAGGUAGAGCACUGUUUGGACGAGGGGCCCCUCUCGGGUUACCGAAUUCAGACAAACUCCGAAUGCCAAUUAAUUUAACUUGGGAGUCAGAACAUGGGUGAUAAGGUCCGUGUUCGAAAGGGAAACAGCCCAGACCACCAGCUAAGGUCCCAAAAUAUAUGUUAAGUGGAAAAGGAUGUGGCGUUGCCCAGACAACUAGGAUGUUGGCUUAGAAGCAGCCAUCAUUUAAAGAGUGCGUAAUAGCUCACUAGUCGAGUGACACUGCGCCGAAAAUGUACCGGGGCUAAACAUAUUACCGAAGCUGUGGAUUGUCCUUUGGACAAUGGUAGGAGAGCGUUCUAAGGGCGUCGAAGCAUGAUCGCAAGGACAUGUGGAGCGCUUAGAAGUGAGAAUGCCGGUGUGAGUAGCGAAAGACGGGUGAGAAUCCCGUCCACCGAUUGACUAAGGUUUCCAGAGGAAGGCUCGUCCGCUCUGGGUUAGUCGGGUCCUAAGCUGAGGCCGACAGGCGUAGGCGAUGGAUAACAGGUUGAUAUUCCUGUACCACCUAGUAUCGUUUUAAUCGAUGGGGGGACGCAGUAGGAUAGGCGAAGCGUGCUGUUGGAGUGCACGUCCAAGCAGUAAGGCUGAGUGUUAGGCAAAUCCGGCACUCAUAAGGCUGAGCUGUGAUGGGGAGAGGAAAUUGUUUCCUCGAGUCGUUGAUUUCACACUGCCGAGAAAAGCCUCUAGAUAGAUAACAGGUGCCCGUACCGCAAACCGACACAGGUAGUCAAGAUGAGAAUUCUAAGGUGAGCGAGCGAACUCUCGUUAAGGAACUCGGCAAAAUGACCCCGUAACUUCGGGAGAAGGGGUGCUCUUUAGGGUUCACGCCCAGAAGAGCCGCAGUGAAUAGGCCCAAGCGACUGUUUAUCAAAAACACAGGUCUCUGCUAAACCGUAAGGUGAUGUAUAGGGGCUGACGCCUGCCCGGUGCUGGAAGGUUAAGAGGAGUGGUUAGCUUCUGCGAAGCUACGAAUCGAAGCCCCAGUAAACGGCGGCCGUAACUAUAACGGUCCUAAGGUAGCGAAAUUCCUUGUCGGG